rnacentral:rRNA from 1 species
UACGUAGGGAGCGAGCGUUGUCCGGAAUCACUGGGCGUAAAGGGCGCGUAGGCGGUCAUGUAAGUCAGAUGUGAAAACCCGGGGCUCAACCCCGGCCUUGCAUUUGAAACUGCAUGACUUGAGGAUGAGAGAGGAAAGUGGAAUUCCUAGUGUAGCGGUGAAAUGCGUAGAUAUUAGGAGGAACACCAGUGGCGAAGGCGACUUUCUGGCUCAUACCUGACGCUGAGGCGCGAAAGCGUGGUAGCAAACAGG